GACGAACGCUGGCGGCGUGCCUAAUACAUGCAAGUCGAACGAGUGGCGGACGGGUGAGUAAUGUCUGGGCAACUGCCUGAUGGAGGGGGAUAACUACUGGAAAAGGUAGCUAAUACCGCAUACCAUCAGAUGUGCCCAGAUGGGAUUAGCUUGUGGGUGGGGUAACGGCUCACCAAGGCGACGAUCCAUAGCUGGUCUGAGAGGAUGACCAGCCACACUGGAACUGAGACACGGUCCAGACUCCUACGGGAGGCAGCAGUGGGGAAUAUUGCACAAUGGGCGAAAGCCUGAUGCAGCCAUGCCGCGUGUAUGAAGAAGGCCUUCGGAUUGUAAAGUACGUUCAGCGGGGAGGCGUUACCCACAGAAGAAGCACCGGCUAACUUCGUGCCAGCAGCCGCGGUAAUAC
rnacentral:rRNA from 1 species